CGAAAGACGAAACUCGAAACUUGACCUCAAAUCAGGUAGGACUACC
rnacentral:rRNA from 1 species